AUGGUUACUUGUUGUGCACCAUUGAACUCUUCCCUUACAUGUAGGCUGGACUUCCCCAACUGGUCCACGCACACUCGGAGGGUUGGGAUUCUGUCUCAACCUUGUUCCUGCAUCAGCCCUGAGGCCAGUCAGUCAGGACAAGCUCAGAAACAAUGCAGGCCUGAAUCCCGGACCUGGGGAAAAUCCUGCUAUUACAGAGCUCACCUUCUGGUUCAAAACAAAGCUUGGGUUCAUUGUGCACAUUCCUUCUACUCUGUUUCUGAAUCACCCUGGGACCCUCACAACAGCCUUUGGGAUGUGUGCCUUUAAUUCUGUCUCAUAGAAGAGAAAACUGAGGUGCCGGAAGCAACUUGCCAAAGAGUGGCUAGAAACAGACUACCCAAUACAACUGGUGGUGUCCCUUCAGACCCAGGGACGCAUGGCAGAACCAGAACCGACCAGUAGGUGGCGCCGUUGUAACACAACAAGCAUUGACCUGGAUUGGCGACUAUUCUGAACCCGCUCGCAGUGGAACUGCCACUGGCUCUCUCCGGUGUCAUGGGGUUCCCACAGGCCUAGCAGCUCGGAGCCCCAGGUCAGCAGCCAGUGAACAGCUGAGGAUGAUGAUGAUAAAAUACAGGAAAAAACACCGGCACUUGCACCCUGGCAGUUACAGCUCUGUGAUGGAAGAUGUAACAGCUAAGGCAAAUUAAAUAUAUUUUCAUUUAAAAUUCAUAAUAAACUAUUCUGAACAUACA
rnacentral:lncRNA from 1 species